rnacentral:ncRNA from 2 species
GGUCAAGAGCUCCCGCCGUCUGGCUCGGCAGGCGGGACAGCAACCCUCGUACGGCGGUGGGGUGCUCCCGAGCAAGACCAGGCGCCCGCGACCGUCGGGCGCAAGUGCUAUCC